CGAGCGUGACGCCUCUGUCUCCGAAUGUCAGCAAGAACAACUGUGCACACUAGCGAGCGACUGAUCGGAGGUAAAGUAGACGUAGGUGUGAGAUCAUUCGUCUUCAUGAUCCUCAGAAGAAGCGAAUAUCCGAAGAAUAUGAAUGCGGUCGGUCAUUAAGUGUCAUUUAUUGUUUCAAUCUGUCACCAUUCGCGAAUAUGCGCUGCUCAUCCUGGCUGGUUGAUGCGUUUCGUGGACUUGCCUUUAGUCGAUGGUGCGCGUGCUCCGUUCUGCCCUA
rnacentral:lncRNA from 1 species